rnacentral:rRNA from 1 species
UACGUAGGGUGCGAGCGUUGUCCGGAAUUAUUGGGCGUAAAGAGCUUGUAGGCGGUCUGUCGCGUCUGCCGUGAAAUUUCGGGGCUCAACCCCGAACUUGCGGUGGGUACGGGCAGACUAGAGUGUGGUAGGGGAGACUGGAAUUCCUGGUGUAGCGGUGAAAUGCGCAGAUAUCAGGAAGAACACCAAUGGCGAAGGCAGCUCACUGGGACGGUACUGACGCUGAGACGCGAAAGCGUGGGGAGCAAACAGG